UGGGGAAUAUUGGACAAUGGGCGCAAGCCUGAUCCAGCAAUGCCGCGUGUGUGAAGAAGGCCCUCGGGUUGUAAAGCACUUUUAUCAGGAGCGAAAUCUGCAAGGCUAAUACCCUUGUAGUCUGACGGUACCUGAGGAAUAAGCACCGGCUAACUCCGUGCCAGCAGCCACGGUAAUACGGAGGGUGCAAGCGUUAAUCGGAAUUACUGGGCGUAAAGCGUGUGUAGGCGGUUUGUUAAGUCUGUUGUGAAAGCCCCGGGCUCAACCUGGGAAUGGCAAUGGAUACUGGCAAGCUAGAGUGUGAUAGAGGAUGGUGGAAUUCCCGGUGUAGCGGUGAAAUGCGUAGAGAUCGGGAGGAACAUCAGUGGCGAAGGCGGCCAUCUGGAUCAACACUGACGCUGAGACACGAAAGCGUGGGGAGCAAACAGGAUUAGAUACCCUGGUAGUCCACGCCCUAAACGAUGCGAACUGGAUGUUGGUCUCAACUCGGAGAUCAGUGUCGAAGCUAACGCGUUAAGUUCGCCGCCUGGGGAGUNCGGUCGCAAGACUGAAACUCAAAGGAAUUGACGGGGGUCAUAGCUGUUUCCUG
rnacentral:rRNA from 1 species